rnacentral:rRNA from 1 species
GACGAACGCUGGCGGCGUGCUUAACACAUGCAAGUCGAACGGAAAGGCCCUGCUUUUGUGGGGUGCUCGAGUGGCGAACGGGUGAGUAACACGUGAGUAACCUGCCCUUGACUUUGGGAUAACUUCUGGAAACUGGGGCUAAUACCGGAUAGGAGCUCCUGCUGCAUGGUGGGGGUUGGAAAGUUUCGGCGGUUGGGGAUGGACUCGCGGCUUAUCAGCUUGUUGGUGGGGUAGUGGCUUACCAAGGCUUUGACGGGUAGCCCGCCUGAGAGGGUGACCGGACACAUUGUAACUGAAAUACGGCCCAGACUCCUGCGGGAGACAGCAGUGGGAAAUAUUGCACAAUGGGCGGAAGCAUGAUGCAGCAACGCCGCGUGCGGGAUGACGGCCUUCGGGUUGUAAACCGCUUUCGCCUGUGACGAAGCGUGAGUGACGGUAAUGGGUAAAGAAGCACCGGCUAACUACGUG